rnacentral:tRNA from 1 species
CGCGGCCGUCGGCGGGGCGGCCAGCCUGGGCCUCUACGGGGUGCUCGGCUGGUUGCUCGUCAACGGGUCCAUCCCGCUGGCCGCGGC